rnacentral:rRNA from 1 species
CCUGAGAAACCCAAAAGAUCGAAUGGGGAGAUUCAUCGUCAGCUCAUUUUGUAUAUAUACAAGUAAUGAUGUGAGUUAAUAUUUCGAUAUUAUUGCUUAUACAUUCUUGUAUGUUUAAUUGCAGAAUGUUGUCGGCGUGCACUUCUCCCCUAGUAGAACAUCGCGACCCGUUGAUUAAAAUAUUUGUCUACGGCCUAAGAUGGAAGAUUUUAAUGAUAUUUGCUUUUUUUCGGAAAAGUAUAAUUUUGUUAAAAACUCUUAGUGCUUCCUGACAAAUAAUCGACGGUAUUAAAAUAUAACAAUGGUAUUGAGUCGCAAUUUAAUUGUGCGUUUCUAUCUAUUACAAGCGAGGUUAGUUUUGUACUGAUAGUACGGACUUUGUGCCGUCGUCGGUGCUAAUCAGCUGUUGGUUAAUAGAAUUAUGGAACUGGCUCUUGAUUAAAAUACCUGUCAGCGAUGCUAUUGCUUUGGGUACUUUCAGGACCCGUCUUGAAACACGGACCAAGGAGUCUAACAUGUACGCGAGUCAUUGGGAUUUUAAUAAAUUAAACCUAAAGGCGUAAUGAAAGUAAAGAUUAUCCUUGUGAUAAUUUAGAGAGGAUGAGCUAUGUUUACGAAAUAGCUUCGCACUCUCAGGGCGUCUCAUUCUCAUUAUGAGAAGA